rnacentral:rRNA from 1 species
CCUACGGGAGGCAGCAGUAGGGAAUAUUGGACAAUGGGUGCGAGCCUGAUCCAGCCAUGCCGCGUGCAGGAAGAAGGCCUUCUGGGGUUUGUAAAACUGCUUUUGCCGGGGGAUAAAAGACCCAUGCGUGGGGAAUUGAAGGUACCCGGUGAAUAAGCCACGGCUAACUACGUGCCAGCAGCCGCGGUAAUACGUAGGUGGCGAGCGUUGUCCGGAUUUAUUGGGUUUAAAGGGUGCGUAGGCGGCCCCGUAAGUCAGUGGUGAAAUACGGCAGCUCAACUGUCGAGGUGCCAUUGAUACUGCGGGGCUUGAGUACAGUCGAGGUAGGCGGAAUUGACGGUGUAGCGGUGAAAUGCUUAGAUAUCGUCAAGAACACCGAUAGCGAAGGCAGCUUGCUAGGCUGUAACUGACGCUGAGGCACGAAAGUGCGGGGGAUCAAACAGGAUUAGAUACCCUGGUAGUCCGCACAGUAAACGAUGGUCACUCGUGUUGGUCGGUACGACGCCGAGCGCCUACGACGAAGACGUAGUAGACCGACCGNGGGAGGUACGCCGCCGAAGGGUAAGGUAAACGUUAAAGGUUAAAGUUAGUACGGCGUUGAGACGUUGCCGACGGACGACGACGAGGGGAGGUUAGG